rnacentral:sRNA from 1 species
UGGUACCUGCGGACGCCUCUGCCUCCAGAUGGGGAGUGUUGGGGUGGAAUGGCAAAGGCUUCACCUGCUUGAUUGUCAAGCCUCUCUUUCCUCCAAAGGCCCAGAUGCUGAGACUUUCUUCUGUCUCUGCCCUUCCCAGGAAUCUUACUUCUCCACGGUGAAGAUUAUCUACACCAUGGGCCAUAGCAUAUCUAUUGUAGCCCUCUUCGUGGCCAUCACCAUCCUGGUUGCUCUCAGGAGGCUCCACUGUCCCCGGAACUACGUCCACACCCAGCUGUUCGCCACUUUUAUCCUAAAGGCGGGAGCUGUGUUCCUGAAGGAUGCCGCCCUUUUCCACAGUGACGACACUGACCACUGCAGCUUCUCCACUGUUCUAUGCAAGGUCUCCGUGGCCACCUCCCAUUUCGCCACCAUGACCAACUUCAGCUGGCUGUUGGCAGAAGCCGUCUACCUGACCUGCCUCCUGGCCUCCACCUCCCCCAGCUCAAGGAGAGCCUUCUGGUGGCUGGUUCUCGCUGGCUGGG